rnacentral:tRNA from 35 species
CGGACUGUAGCGCAGCUUGGUAGCGCACCGUCAUGGGGUGUCGGGGGUCGCUGGUUCAAAUCCAGUCAGUCCGACCA